GGGCACACUCUGCUCAGGCUCCCUUUGCAAGCUUUCGCUUUAGAUGGUGGAAGGAACCAGAGAGGGGUUGCUCCUCUAACUGGGAGGGCUUAGUGGGGUCCCCGUGUCAGAGACUCUGCAGAGAUCACUGCAACUUAUGUCUGGCUCUGCUUUUUCCCCCUAUUCUUGGGGACCAACUGCCUUUUGGAAAUGAGGAAUUUGGGACCCCAGCAUUGGAUUCAGAAGCAGAGGGUAGGGCUCUAAGUGCAGUUUGGGGCAGCUGCAAAUUCUGAGGGCAGCUUUGGGGCCUGCUGGGGUCCUUGUGACUCUGACCUAUCUCCAGCUGCUGUGUUUAGAGACGCUCCAGGAAGUCACAGCCUUUCAUAGGUGGGAGAACACAGAAGCAGGUAAGUUGGCCU
rnacentral:lncRNA from 1 species